CUUUAACUUGCUCUAAGCCGAGAAGCCCGAAACCUCCCUGACCUCGAACCAGUCGGUGACGAGCGUCCCCGCUAGGAAAAGCACGAGGCUCCGAUGACACGAAGCUCACCUCGAGUACCUGCACAUCCGGAGUCCAGUUGGUGUCGACUACCACCCGCAUACAGUCACUUGCUGAUGACCACACCACCACCGCCGUAGUCAGCCCUCCUCAGCAGCAUCCACCGCCGACCCCCUGGCCAUGGCCACGGAACCACCCGCACACCAAGCAAGCAGCUGGAAAGCCAGAUCCGGGCGCCAUGGAGCACCCCGACCGACAUGGCUGCACACUAGCAUGA
rnacentral:lncRNA from 1 species